rfam:Caenorhabditis remanei strain PB4641 contig2.36, whole genome shotgun sequence.
UGCAUCGGUCCGAUGUUAAUGGGUUAUCAAUUCUUCACUGUCUCUUCUGCUUGCAGAAGAAACCCCGGUUCUCUUGUGGAACGAAAAAACGUUGUCUGUCAGAAUUUCGUUCUGCCAAACAACACUCGCAUCCGUGCGAAACCCCCCUUCCCAUCAACACAACCUUGACCGUUGU